rnacentral:rRNA from 1 species
UGCCAGCCGCCGCGGUAACACGGAGGGGGCUAGUGUUAUUCGGAAUUACUGGGCGUAAAGGGUACGUAGGCGGUUAACUAAGUUGAAAGUGAAAUCCCAAAGCUUAACUUUGGAAUGGCUUUCAAAACUAGUUAACUUGAGUUCGAUAGAGGAUAGUGGAAUUUCUAGUGUAGAGAUAGAAUUCAUAAAUAUUAGAAGGAACACCAGUGGCGAAGGCGACUAUCUGGAUCGAUACUGACGCUGAGGUACGAAAGCGUGGGGAGCAAACAGGAUUAGAUA